UACAGAGGUCUCAAGCGUUGUUCGGAUUCAUUGGGUUUAAAGGGUGCGUAGGCGGUCUAUUAAGUCAGUGGUGAAAGCCCCAAGCUCAACUUGGGAACUGCCAUUGAUACUGAUGGACUUGAGUACAUUUGAGGUGGGCGGAAUGUGUCAUGUAGCGGUGAAAUGCUUAGAUAUGACACAGAACACCGAUUGCGAAGGCAGCUCACUAAACUGUAACUGACGCUGAGGCACGAAAGCGUGGGGAGCAAACAGG
rnacentral:rRNA from 1 species